AGAUUAUAACUCAAUGAUUUGAAUAAUAAAUAAUCUUUUUCAUUGUGUAGCCAGUGAGAAAAUGUCCUUCCUGAGCUACUGUAGGUUCAGGCAGGCCUUGGAACCUCCUACUUCCUGGUUCACCCAUUAGAAAGGGUAUAAAGCUGCCCAUAUUGAAGCUGCUUUUGGCAUGCUUGUCCCUUUCUAUGUUGGAGAGUGGCUGGAGAAGCCAGUGAGCUGCUCGUCAGGGAGGCCCAAACCAUGUGUGAGCCAUACCAGGUGGAGGAGCCUCAAAGAAACUCCAGGCUGGCAUUGGAAGCCAUUGCUGUUUUGUGUUGCUUGUUCACUUCUGGUCUAGUUUCUUCAUGUUGGUAAUAUUAGUUAGUUUGCAGAUGAUUACUUUUGACUGCUAUGGCUGGUUCUACACCUGCAGGAUCAAGAUGACCAAUGGAAAAGCUAAAACUUCCAAGGUUUGGAAAUUCGGGUUGGUUCAAUAUGCGUUGGGCAAGAAACCUGGUGGAGACCGUGGUGCCAUGAAAGCAAACAAAAGGACGGUCCAGAGAAGAAAACAGGCUCCUGCCUUGAGGAUCCCCAGAAGUGGUCGAGCAGUUUCAGCCUCCUGUGACGGUGGAAAUUACCAGCAGUCUUUAGUGAUUUGAGUGAACGGUAAGACGUUUUUCCAGUAUGGUUUUUGAUGUGUAAUGCUUGUCAUGCAGGCUGUGUGACUGGUCUAAUAAUACAUUCUUUUUCAAACUGUCAAGAGCCUGACUGUUGCAUAAUGUGUUAACUAUCUUCUAAAAUAUGGUUGGAUUUCCUGAACUAUACCACCCUCUUUAGCUGCUUCAUUUGAAUUUGGCAGCUU